AUACCGUAAGACGCCAGCCGUGCGCUGACCCCUCACACUCUCUGUAGAGGAUUGUUUGCCCGCGCUUUUGCAUCGCACUCUCGAGCCAGGACAGGAUGGCGUCUGUAAAAGAAGUUCCUGAGGAAUCCAUGUAGGACACAGCAAAGCAGCACACAGGAUGAGAGCAUCCUGGGUGACCAGGACACACUGCAGCCUGCAGGUAGGUGAUCCUCUUCUAGGUAACACAUCGAUUCUCUGCUACACACAGACACGCAUCCCCAAAACGUAUUUUUCACACUUUA